rnacentral:rRNA from 1 species
GGGCCCGCACAAGCGGUGGAGCAUGUGGUUUAAUUCGAUGAUACGCGAGGAACCUUACCUAGGCUUAAAUGUAUAUUGACAGAUUGGGAAACCAGUCCUUCUUCGGACAAUUUACAAGGUGCUGCAUGGUUGUCGUCAGCUCGUGCUGUGAGGUGUCGGGUUAAGUCCCAUAACGAGCGCAACCCCUAUCCUUAGUUGCCAGCGAGUAAUGUCGGGGACUCUAGGGAAACUGCCGGUGCAAACCGUGAGGAAGGUGGGGAUGACGUCAAAUCAUCACGGCCCUUACGUCUAGGGCUACACACGUGCUACAAUGGCAUAUACAAAGGGCAGCUACUUGGUGACAAGAUGCUAAUCUCUAAAGUAUGUCUCAGUUCGGAUCGAAGUCUGCAACUCGACUUCGUGAAGCUGGAAUCGCUAGUAA